AGAAUCCAAUCUGAAUACUGAAAAGCUGCUGCCCAUCACAGAGACCAGUGCUUUUCAACCUUGGUAAUUUCCAGAUGCACAAAGUUCAACUCCCAGAAUUUUCAGCAAUGGCGAUGCUGGGAGCUGAAGUUCACACAUGCGGAAGCUGCAAAGACAGAAAACACUAAUGCAGAGCCUGCUGAUUUAGAUGGUCUACAGCAGCUUCUUAAGAUGCUUUUCUCAGUAGGCUUGACAGUAUCUCAUGAUUUGCAAACAAGGUGUUGUCAAAAAUCAGCCAAUAUAUUUAAGACUGCUGUUUUCUGGGAUAUAACAUACAGCAGCAAAACACACAUACAAGAAACACAGAUUGUUUUGCCGCUAAUGCUACAUACAUAAACUAUAGUUUCAGCCUAUACUGCAGUUCACCACUUUGGAAAAGUUCCUGUGACAUCCAAGCCUAUGCUCUUUACAUCUUUUUCAUUUUCCCCACUGUAAGAAAAAAUGACUUGCUGUAGAAACAGACAGGCAGAACUGAUUAUACAGUUUAUUUUACAAACAGCUGCAUAUAAAAAUGUGAAAUAAAAUGCCUUUUUAAAAAAAAA